GACGAACGCUGGCGGCGUGCUUAACACAUGCCAGUCGAACGGAAAGGCCCUGCUUUUGUGGGGUGCUCGAGUGGCGAACGGGUGAGUAACACGUGAGUAACCUGCCCUUGACUUUGGGAUAACUUCAGGAAACUGGGGCUAAUACCGGAUAGGAGCUCCUGCUGCAUGGGGGGGGUUGGAAAGUUUCGGCGGUUGGGGAUGGACUCGCGGCUUAUCAGCUUGUUGGUGGGGUAGUGGCUUACCAAGGCUUUGACGGGUAGCCGGCCUGAGAGGGUGACCGGCCACAUUGGGACUGAGAUACGGCCCAGACUCCUACGGGAGGCAGCAGUGGGGAAUAUUGCACAAUGGGCGGAAGCCUGAUGCAGCAACGCCGCGUGCGGGAUGACGGCCUUCGGGUUGUAAACCGAUUUCGCCUGUGACGAAGCGUGAGUGACGGUAAUGGGUAAAGAAGCACCGGCUAACUACGUG
rnacentral:rRNA from 1 species